rnacentral:sRNA from 1 species
UGAUGAACUGACCCAGAACAAGUAUCUGCCUGACCUGACAAGCUAGGUCAGCCCUUAUCUUGGAGAUCUGGGUGAUGAGGCCAAGUCUGACAAAGCCCUUUGCAAUUUUCCUUCCCAUGUCCCAACCAUGCAACCUCAGUCCAUGGCUUACAUGGUGAGUGCUAACAUGGACCAGGGAGCCACGGACUUCCAGAUAGAGGCCGCCAUCAGCAAAAUCUUUGGCUCGGUGAGGUCCCAGGCAUGCUGGGAGGGAGUCCAGUUUGGGUGCUCAGCUCCCAAAACCAGUCUCAUCUGUUCUUUGUCCCUAGGAGGCAGCCUGGAAGGUGACAGAUGAAUGCAUCCAAAUCAUGGGGGGUAUGGGCUUCAUGAAGGUACAGGACGGUCUUCUGCAGAGCCUCGGCUGGGCCAGGGGUGGGUAGGCACAUCUCAGCACGGGCAUAUAAUUUGUGUGGCCCUGUGCUAGGAACCUGGAGUAGAGCGUGUGCUCCGAGAUCUUCGCGUCUUCCGGAUCUUUGAGGGGACAAAUGACAUUCUUCGGCUGUUUGUGGCUCUGCAGGGCUGUAUGGUAAGAGAGAGAAUUGGGUGGGGGUAGAGGUGGGGAGGACAGUGAGUCCUGACUGCUGGACCCUCUUCCCCCAUAGGACAAAGGAAAGGAGCUCUCUGGGCUUGGCAGUGCUCUAAAGAAUCCCUUUGGGAAUGCUGGCCUCCUGCUAGGAGAGGCAGGCAAACAGCUGAGGCGGUAGGCUUAGGGCCAGAGCCAGGGGAGGGCAGGGUGGUGUAUGGCAACUAACCAGUCAUUCUCCCUCUUCCUCUCAGGCGGGCAGGGCUGGGCAGCGGCCUGAGUCUCAGUGGACUUGUCCACCCAGAGUUGAGUCGGAGCGGCGAGCUGGUAAGUGGCCAGGGGUCCAGGAGAGCCUGCAUCAGGGACUGCAGCUGAUGGCCCCUCUGAGCCCCGCACUGUCCCCAUCUCUUCAGGCAGUACAGGCUCUGGAGCAGUUUGCCACUGUGGUGGAGGCCAAGCUGAUAAAACACAAGAAGGGGAUUGUCAGUAAGUGAGCUCUACACCAUUCCGCCCCUCCCUUUCCUCUCCUUGAGACUAAUGCCCCCACACCCACCCCCACCCCACCUACCGGACAGAUGAACAGUUUCUGCUGCAGCGGCUGGCAGACGGGGCCAUCGACCUCUAUGCCAUGGUGGUGGUUCUCUCGAGGUGAGGAGGCAGGCAGGGAAUGCCUGAGCCGCAGGGGGCCUGGGCCUGGAUCCCAGCCGGCCCAGAUUUAUUUUCAUCUCCUGCUUCCUGCCAGGGCCUCAAGAUCCCUGAGUGAGGGCCACCCCACGGCCCAGCAUGAGAAAAUGCUCUGUGACACCUGGUGUAUCGAGGUGAGACUCGGGGCUGCCAAGCUCAGGUGAGGGCUAGAGGUGCAGGCCCAACCCCUCCUUCCCUCUCCCCAGGCUGCAGCUCGGAUCCGAGAGGGCAUGGCCGCCCUGCAGUCUGACCCCUGGCAGCAAGAGCUCUACCGCAACUUCAAAAGCAUCUCCAAGGCCUUGGUGGAGCGGGGUGGUGUGGUCACCAGCAACCCACUUGGCUUCUGAAUACUCCCGGCCAGGGCCUGUCCCAGUUAUGUGCCUUCCCUCAAGCCAAAGCCGAAGCCCCUUUCCUUAAGGCCCUGGUUUGUCCCGAAGGGGCCUAGUGUUCCCAGCACUGUGCCUGCUCUCAAGAGCACUUACUGCC